rnacentral:sRNA from 1 species
UCUGCGUAUUAUCCUAAAAUCAUUUGCGGCCAAUAAUGUCGGAAAAGCGUUUUUCAGAUAAAGCUCAAUAAACAGAUUUGCGGUAAGUUACUGGCAACAGGAAAUAUCUGAUAAGAGAGCCGGCAAUAGUACCGGCUUAUAUUA